CCCAAAUCGCUCCUUCCUCUUUUUCAGCUUCUCGUCAUCCUCAGACUGUUCAGGGACAAAGAAAAGGGCUGAAACAAGCUAUCCCUCCAUUCACAAGGGUUGCUCCCGUGUGGGAAGAAUAGUGCUGGAAUCUGAAACGCCCUUAUUUGCUAUCAAGUGAAAACUCUUCAAAACACACCACUUGCAUCCAAAAUCAGAAGAGAAACCUGUCCUCACUGACUAAACACAGGCACUGGAUAUUCAGAUUGAUCCAUGUACUUCACUUCCCUCAUUCUCCCACUCAAGACUUAAAGAGCAAGCCAACUAACUGACCGACGCCAAUAACUUCAGCAUACAUGAUCCUCACUCCUAUCUCCCAAUAACUGCCUUGUUUUUCUUUUCAGAAGUUUGGUGAUAAAAACAAGAAAGAGAACUGUGUAAAAGAGGAGAGAGGUCAUAUAAGAAGCACAGGGCAGGGCUUCCCUGGUGGCGCAGUGGUUGAGAGUCCGCCUGCCCAUGCAGGGGACAUGGGUUCGUGCCCCGGUCCAGGAAGAUCCCACAUGCCGCAGAGCAGCCAGGCCCGUGAGCCAUGGCUGCUGAGCCUGCGCGUCCGAAGCCUGUGCUCCGCAACGGGAGAGGCCGCAACAGUGAGAGGCCGGCGUACCGCAAAAAAAAAAAACAAAAAACUACUAAAGAAGCACAGGGCAGAAAGCAUGAUAUAUAUUUAAUAAAGCCAAAUGCCCCCAUGAAUCACUAUCACUGUAUUUUCCAUCAUGGAAUAAGAUAGUUCCUAACUGAACCUUUCAGAAGACUUCAACUUUUCAAAAUUCACUUUUCUUCUUGUUUCCCUUUCACAUUUGGCACAUCCUUGGACAAUAUAAAGAAAAUGAUACCUGCUGAAAGAAAAGACGGAGACAUUCCAGGUUGCCCCAAGAUACAAAUUACAUGUGUGAAAGUGCUUAGUACAUAGGAACUAUCAUAUAAGUAUUCAAUAAAUGUUAGCCAUUA